rnacentral:lncRNA from 1 species
UUUCCAUAAACUCAACUAGAAGAUAUGGACUGUAGUUCUUAUUUUUCUACACAAAGACAAAUUACUUGCAUUGACUAUUAUUGUUCGAGAAAGAAUUACACAAAUUUUAACGCUUUACCUCUUGACCACACUGUAUAUAAAUACAAACUUUAUACUACUUUAUAAUAUAGAAUUUAAUUAAAAUUUUGCUUUUAGGAGCCGGUAGCUAGAUGGGAAUGAGGUGGACCACCGCGGUUUUCAACUUUACAAAAUGGCAGAGGAAGUACAAGAGGGACCUUAGAAAUUAAUAAAAAUGUAAAACAUAAAGAUUAAUCUCAGCUUUUUAUUUAGAAAAAAAAAGACUGAAUGUACUUAGAGAGUUUAAAAUUAGGGACAAGAUUUCGAUGCAGUAUGGGCAGUUAAUGUGACUGGUGUAGUCUAUUAUUAUUGGCAUUCAUGUAUGUGACUGGUGUAUCUAGAGUCGCACGUUUGAGUAUUUGACAUCUAUCCCG